AGGACGAACGCUGGCGGCGUGCUUAACACAUGCAAGUCGAGCGGUAAGGCCUUUCGGGGUACACGAGCGGCGAACGGGUGAGUAACACGUGGGUGAUCUGCCCUGCACUCUGGGAUAAGCCUGGGAAACUGGGUCUAAUACCGGAUAUGACCUGCUCUCGCAUGGGGGUGGGUGGAAAGAUUUAUCGGUGCAGGAUGGGCCCGCGGCCUAUCAGCUUGUUGGUGGGGUAAUGGCCUACCAAGGCGACGACGGGUAGCCGACCUGAGAGGGUGACCGGCCACACUGGGACUGAGACACGGCCCAGACUCCGUACGGGAGGCAGCAGUGGGAAUAGUUGACACAAGUGGGACGAAAGCCUGAUGCAGCGACGCCGCGCGGAGGA
rnacentral:rRNA from 1 species